rnacentral:lncRNA from 1 species
AUGGAGGCGCGGAGGGGAGGAUGCGGAGAGCCGCCCGGCCCUGCCCGUGCCCGUGCCCCUGCCGGUGCCGGGGGAGCCGGGGCCGGUGCCGGUGCCCCCGCCGUUCCCCAUCGCGGUGCGGAGCCGGCAGAAGCCGCGGGCAGGCUCGGGCAGCCCGUCCCUCCAGGCGCCGCCGCAGCUCCUCGGCGGCCGGCGCGUUCCCCCUGCGUUUCUUUCCAACAGUUUUGCACCAACACCAGUGUCUGUGUGGGCUGGGGAGAGGUGUUUUUUUUUUCUUCCUUUUUUUUUUUUUUUUUCCUUUCCUCCUCUCUCGCUAAAAGUGUGAUGGGAGCGGGACACGCGCGCACACGCUCCGAGCCGCACACGCACACACACACACACUCCGACCUGCUUUCCCACCCCCUUUUCCUUAAAAUCCUGGCGGCGAGGAUUUCUCUUGGAGGAAUUAAAGUCUCGGCCGCGAAUCGGGAGACGCCGAGUUCCCAGGGACCGCAUCUCGGUGCACUUUUCCUCCUAUUUCCCACGCAGACAAGCAAAUUGCUCGUGCAAAGAGCUUUCAGCACCACGUCUGGACAGGGCGAGAGGAGCGGGGAGAGGGGGAGGGCUGGGGGCUGCAGGCAGAUGGAGCAGAAACCCAAGAAACCCAGCCUCCACCCGGAGCACGCCAGGAGAGCCGCUCUGCAGUCGUGUCGUUUACUUUCUCCGUUAAAUGAAUAUAUAAUUAUUUUAUAUUUUUUUUUGGUAUGAAAUCGCAUGAGAGCCUUAGGGGACCAGAAUUCAUCUCGGUGCCCUUAAUCAGCUUUGAGGAAAAUUUGGCUAAACAGCCCCGCUCUCGCCUCCUCCAGCAAAUCUGCCUUUCCCUAUCCCCACCCGCACACCCGCUCACACCUCGCGGUUCGCUGCUGCCAGCCCCCGGCCUCCUGUCCCCUGUCCCUUGUCCCCUGUCCCCAGCCCCCUAUCCCCGACGGGGCGCCCAGCCGGCCCCCCAGUUCCCAGGCCCUUCCGUGGGCUCGGCCCCCCCCCCCACCCCCCGCGCCCCGGCUCAGCCCUCGGCCGCUACCAGCACACGGCAAACCGCAGCGAGCAGCGCUUAUAAGCUGCCGAGUGAGGUUUUCGCCGUGGUUUCCCGGGGUCCUGCGUGGAAAAAAAAGAAAAAAAAAAAAAUAACGAGCAGGGUGAAUGAAGGGGGCCUGUAGCCCCAAGCACAGCUGUGCCGGGGGGACGAUGGUAGCCGAGGCCCCCGGGACACACGGGGGUGGCCCCCUCGGGGAUGCUUCGGCCGAGCCUGCGGGGCCGGGGGAGCAAAGAGAAGGGGCUCCCCUGAGCUGCCCUCUGCACCCAGGGCUGGGGGCUGCCCUCCCCUUGUCCCCCUGUUCCUUAAGGGCGAGGGGAUAGUGAGUGCAAGAGGGGAACUGGAGGGGAAUUGGGGCGGGGGGGCACUUUUUGCCCUCGGAGGUGCAAAGUCCGGCUCGCAGAGAGCGCAGCCGCUUCUCGGCGAGCCGCAGGGAGCUUAUCGGGAAGUUGCUGGGCAUCAUCUGUUGAUUAACCAGUGUCUUCCAGUGGGCUCUCGGAGCGGGAGAUAAGGGCCGGCAAUGAUUGACCAGGGGCUGCCCGGGCCGGGGGGGCCGCCGGAGCCCCCCUCCCGGCCGCAGCGCCUCGCAGGCUGCGGGCAGGGCUGCCGGGGUGAACCUUCCUCCGGCCGCCUCCUCCUCCUCCCUCCGAAAAUACAUCCCAAUAGGGAAGGGGGGGAGGGGGGAGGAAUAAUAAAAAAAAAAAAUCCAAAGUGAUUUCUCA